AACGAACGCUGGCGGCAUGCCUAACACAUGCAAGUCGAACGAAGCCUUCGGGCUUAGUGGCGCACGGGUGCGUAACGCGUGGGAAUCUGCCCUCUGGUGCGGAAUAACUCAGGGAAACUUGAGCUAAUACCGCAUAAUGACUCCGGUCCAAAGAUUUAUCGCCAGAGGAUGAGCCCGCGUCGGAUUAGCUAGUUGGUGAGGUAAAGGCUCACCAAGGCGACGAUCCGUAGCUGGUCUGAGGGGAUGAUCAGCCACACUGGGACUGAGACACGGCCCAGACUCCUACGGGAGGAAGCAGUGGGGAAUAUUGGACAAUGGGCGAAAGCCUGAUCCAGCAAUGCCGCGUGAGUGAUGAAGGCCUUAGGGUUGUAAAGCUCUUUUACCCGGGAUGAUAAUGACAGUACCGGGAGAAUAAGCCCCGGCUAACUCCGUGCCAGCCGCCGCGGUAAGAC
rnacentral:rRNA from 1 species